rnacentral:rRNA from 1 species
GCAGGACUAAACCCCCGUACCUUUUGCAUCAUGAAUUAGCAAGUAUAAACAGGCAAGGGGGACCACAGUCUGCCACCCCGAAACUGAGUGAGCUACUCCAGGACCGCCUAUUACAGGGCAAACCCGUCUCUGUGGCAAAAGAGUGGGAAGAUCCUCGAGUAGAAGUGAUAAACUUACCGAACCCAGUGAUAGCUGGUUGUCUGGAAAAUGGAUAUAAGUUCAGCCCCACCUCUUCUUUACAAGAAGGGGGAGUUACUCAAAGGGGGUACAGCCCCUUUGAGAGAAGAAACAACUUUUUAAGCAGGAUAAGGAUUAAAAUAUUUAAGGGAUAGUAACCUAGUGGGCCUAAAAGCAGCCACCUAUAUAGAAAGCGUCAAAGCUCAAACACGAUAUACCAAUAAACAGCCCAAAGCCCCAAAUAACACCAGACCUCUCCACUGCAAGUGGAGGAGAAGAUGCUAGUAUGAGUAAUAAGAAACGAGUUUCUCCCGGCACACGCUUAAGCCAGCACGGACAACCCACCGAAAAUUAACGGACCCAAAGAAAGAGGGCAAUGAAAGACAACUAGAAGAACACUCCCCGUUGACCCCACACUGGUGUGCCCCAAGGAAAGACAAAAGGGAAGAGAAGGAACUCGGCAAAAAAGCCUCGCCUGUUUACCAAAAACAUCGCCUCUUGCUAGAAUAAGAGGUCUGACCUGCCCAGUGACACUAUGUUCAACGGCCGCGGUAUUUUGACCGUGCUAAGGUAGCGCAAUCACUUGUCUUUUAAAUAAGGACCUGUAUGAAAGGUAUGACGAGGGCUUGACUGUCUCCUCUCCCCAGUCAAUGAAAUUGAUCUCCCCGUGCAGAAGCGGGGAUCUUAACAUAAGACGAGAAGACCCUGUGGAGCUUGAGACCCAGGUAUGGCACAUGUUAAAAAACUUUACUCAAAGGACAAACUAAGUGAAACCCACACCUAUGUCUUCGGUUGGGGUGACCAUGGGGUAGACCUAACCCCCAUGAAGACAGGGAGCACUCCUAAAAGCCAGAGCCCCACCUCUAGCUAACGAAACAUUCGACUUGAAAUGAUCCGGGAAACCGAUCAACGAACCAAGUUACCCCAGGGAUAACAGCGCUAUCCCCUUCAAGAGCCCAUAUCGCCAAGGGGGUUUACGACCUCGAUGUUGGAUCAGGACAUCCUAAUGGUGCAG